GUGUUUAAGUAUGAGUAACAAUAUAAGUGGCUAUAAAAUACUUUGCGCCUCGCAAUUGAUUUUUGUUUUCGUUCGCCAGUAUCAGCGUUUGGUUGUUACUACCAAACCCGGUCAUUUACAAAUAAAAAAGCAAAAAAACUCCGACUCACAGUGUGUUUAAGUGUAUUAAAGCCCAAGAUGAAAGUCACCUUGGUUUUAGCUGCAUUCUGUGUGGCAG